rnacentral:lncRNA from 1 species
UUCCUCAUAUUUUCUGAAUGCCAUCCUAAUUACAGGGUUAGAUAACAAACACAACUAGACAGUCAGCACUAGAAGAAAGAAGGCACUCUCAGGCUCUACUCAUAUUUAGAUUUUAUCAUCUGUCCUUUCAAUCACAUGGCCCUCUGUUAGACUGGGUUAUCGAAAAUUGUAAUAAUAGCUAUUUGUGCUCGAAACAGUCCUCCCUCAUCCCAGGUCACAAUUUUUCUCAUUAAAGGAGCAUUGUGAAUGGAUUUGGGGCCAUGAACAGGUCUUUGUGAAUUGAAAGUCAAUCCAGUGAGAGGAGAUCAUUUGGAGUUUCUGAAAAACCAGUGUCUCGUUAUUGGAAUUCUAGUCUCCAGCCACAUUCCCUAAAUCUUAAGAACACAGCACCCCGGCUCCAUCACAGGGGACACCCUUAUCACCAAGCCCCAUCCUUUGCCCCCACCCCACCCCCAUCUCAAUACAGCAACAACCGUAAAGAAUCAGCUUCACUCAGAAGAUGUAGUAGCUGCACACAGCCCAUCCCGUUGGGUGUUUCUCAAGAGCUUUGACAAGGGUUUGGCAAAACCAAGGCAGAGUCCUGUGUGCACACAGCACCAUGGCAGCACAUGAGAUGCUGCCUGAACACGAACCAGACAUGAAACCGGGUGCCACUAGUGCUCUGUUACCCGAUUCCCCUCUCCACCUCUUCUUUUCCUUUUUUUGGCCACCCUGUGGCAUACGGAGUUCCUGGGUCAGGGAUCAGAUCUAAGCUGCAAUUGCAACCUACACCACAGCUGUGGCAACUAGGGAACCUUAACUAACUCACUCUGCCGGCUGGAAAUCGAACCUGCCUCCCAGCGCUCCAGAGAUGCUGCCAAUCCUGUUGCGCUACAGCAGAACGCCCUCCUCCACUUUUUUUUUUUUUUGGCCACACUUGAAGCAUGUGGAAGUUCCUGGGCCAGGGAUCCAAACCUCACCACACCAUCGACCCAAGCCCCUGCAAUGACAUUGCUGGAUCCUUAAGCCGCUGCACCACAAGGGAACUCCACCCCUCUCCACUUCUGAGAGAAUAACCCCACAUGGCCAGAGGCCUGGGAACAUGAAAGGACCAGAAUGCAAGAAAGAAAGGAGAAAAAGGGAAAGUUCCCUCUGCUUAGUGGGAGCACAAAUAUGCUAUCCAGCCUUGUUCUAGCUCCUGAAGAAUGACUGGGCAUCACAGUGACGAACACAGGGGCAUGCCACCCCCCUUGGGACCUCUUGGCUCUGAGACCCAAGGCCCAGCAGAGGUGGGAGGUCAGGAGCUGUAGAGUCCCCAGUUCCUUGAUCCAAUUUGGAAAGCCUGGGAAAAGUGCUCAGAAGGAGAUGCUCAGCUGAUCAAACAUAAGAUUUAUUUUUUAUGUGCUCUGAAGUGGCAAGUAAAAUCAAACUAAACCCAGCUAUGAUCCAUGGAUAAUACAAAUCUAAGAGACUGUUAUUUUUAGGUUUCGCUUUAGUUUCCCUGAUCAAUGGAAUGAUCAUAAGAAAAAGCAUCCUGUCAAAAUCACCAGCUUCACUCAAAAAGCUCAUUUACAACUGAAAUAAAUCACCUAGAGGUAGAUGCAUGGGAAUCACGUCACCUCUACUCGUAUUGGCCAACGUGUCAGCCAUUCUGGCACAAGUACCCUAGGUAAUCAAUGACUUGGAGAAGAAACCUCAAUGGUAAAUACCCCUCCCUGAGCUGAAAGUAGAAAGGAUGGCUAACACCCUUCCCUUAAGUAACCGGGAGGCAAAGGGCUUUUACAGCACGUGAGGGAUUCAUCAGGAGACAAGAGUUGACCCUUGGUAGAGUCAAAUCAAUUUCAUAGCAACCCAUUACAAAAGCGUAUACCAUAGUCAUUAUUGCAGAAUACUUCAAAGCUUUUUUUCAACAUAAAGCAAGCAUAAAGAGAUCAAAGUUCCUGGACCACACAUAAUGCAGUUGAAAGUUGUCCCAACAUGUUCUCUGCCUGCAAGACAAAUAAGUUAAAUAUAUUUGCAAAUGUCAACUUCGUUCCUUUUAAUGCUUCUUAAAUCAGGUCAGUGAGUCUGUUUUGGAAACAGAAGUAGGAUGACUCAGAUACUAGCUUGGCUCAUUACUUGAGCUUAGACAACAAAGCAACUCAAUUGUAAGCACUUUGGAGUUGCCCUCCUAUGGUCCACAUCCUGAGGACACUGUUAACACUCUGACCGUCUAUACUUAAAGCCCAGAUCCUUUGUUCAAGAACAGUAUGCUGCGAUUAUACACUUGCAUCAUUAUCAUGAAACCUGAAAAAAGUAAAGCCGUUUUUAAAAAUGUGUUCAGCUCUUCUGGGCCUCAGGGUAAAUGCUGGCUUGCUCCUGUGGCUGCACUCAGAGUUUUGUCUCUCAAACCGAACUUACCUUGAAUACUAAAUUCCUUUUAAAGUAAAAUGAACCUCUGUCAUAAAUGAUCUGUCCCAUUUUAAAGACUGGUUUCAAUGUCCCAACAUGUCUGUUUUGUCUUUGACCCUGUGAACUCACAUUGCCCCCUGCUAAUACCUUUCUUGGGGAAGUGUCACAAUUUCCCUUGUAAUGGAGUCAGGGUUUGUUUUUGUUUUUGUUUCUUAAUCUGUCUCAGUUCCUCAAUUAGAGGGUAAGUAUUUCAAGGGCAGAUCCCAUGUCCUUGCCCUCAGCCUUCCCACAGGUUUGCCUUUCCAGGGCGAAAGAUAGCUAGGCUCGUUCCAGCUUACAAAACAAAAACUUUAAGUUAGUUUGCAUGGAAUAAAUGAAUGAAUAAAAUGUUUCCAGUCAGCCCAGUAGUUUAAAGACAAAAACAUUCUUUUCAUGAUUCUUUACAUUCUGACCUCUGGGAGUAAAUGCCUAGGCUGGGCAGAGGAAAAGGAGGAUUUCAAGUGGACAGUAGAGCCUAAUGAUUUCAACAGGGACCACAAAAGUACUGCUUAUGAGUAGAAAAAUGCUCCAGGCUUCAAAGUAUCAUCCUGUAGCUCUCCGCUCUCCUCACUAACCCAGCUGGUCCAAAUAUUCUGCAGCAUCUUCCCAGGCGUCCCAUUCCUGGCAAUUAUAAGCUUCUACCAAGUAAGCAGCAUAUACCAGCCAAGAGACUGGGCAUGACAUUGAGCUUGGGAGAGCUCUUUACUGGGGUCCUAGACUUAGAAUGGACAACUUGGGCAUUGUAUUGAUUUCCUGUUGCUGCUAUAGCAAAUUACCACAAAUGUAUUAUCUUAAAGUUCUGGACCUCAGAGGUUUAAAGUGGGUCUCACCGGACUAACACCAAGGUGUGGUCAGGAGUACAUUCCUUCUGGAGACUCCAAGGAAGAAUUCACUUCCUCUUUUACCAGCUUCCAGAGGCCACCUGCAUCCCUUGGCUCAUGACCCUGUUUCCGCAUCUUCAAAGCCAACAGGCCACCUCCUUCUCACUCUGUCUUCUCUCUCGUCCCCUCUCCUCUGUCUGCCACAAAGAGCUCUUAUCAUUAUACUGAGGCUGGACCAUCCAGUAUACACUUCCCCUCUCAGGGUCAGCUAAUGAACAACCUUAACUCCAUCUGCAACCUUAACUCUCUUUGCCAUGUAGCCUAACACACUCAUGAGUCCCAGGCGCUCAGGACAUGGACAGUUUUGUGGCCAUCACGCUGUCCACCACAGGCAGGCAGAACAAGGAAGCAAAGUCCCCAAGUCCUGGUGACCACUGGCUCAGGGUAAAGCAGGGAAGGCCCAGAAGCUAGAUAACAUUGCCUACAGAGAGCCCUCAGCCAAAGGGCCGGCGCUACCGUCCAUCCCAAGGAGUUCAUCAGAACCCUCCUACUUCAAAGAUGGCUUCCCCUUCAAGGAAGAAUGUGAAGGGAUGAACUAACCCAUGCUCAGGGACUCCCCAAGUGUUCCCAUGACACCAGUGCUCCCCAAGAAUGGGGCACCACUUGACCCAGGAAGAGGACUUACCAACAGUGAAAUUCCAGCCUUCACUGGGGAAGUUAUAUGUAUGACUCUCAAAAUACACCAUGUACUCAUUCCUGUCCCCACCUUUGCAGUUAGGCUGCCCUUGUACCAAAGCAACAACGGUCAGAACAUCACAUGUAUGUGAGAAUGGGAGUGGGACAGACCACAAAUACCCAACACACACACACACACACCCCUUUCUUAUUCUUAGACAUCCCAAGGAUCCCUUUCUCAAGUAGAAAGUUAAAUAGGAAGAUAGUAACUUUUCUAUGACAGUUUGCUGCUGCCACCCGCUAAGGGCGCCAGCCUGGGUCAGUUAACGUCCUGUGACGAGCAGGGGUGAGAUUCUUUAUGGGGUAGAGCUUAUCCUCACCAUAUGUUUUCUAGUAUUGGCCGAGAGCGUUAAUUGGUGUUUCAGGAAUCAGGAGGGGGAAGAUCAAGGGCAUCUAGAGAGAAGGCAUUAUGCAGUGUCCCCCUACCCUCAAUUAGUAGGUUAGCACAUGUCUAAAUGCUCAUAAUUUGUGCUGAUCUACCGCUUAGCCAGCAAAUGGAUCCCACUUGGAAGGUGCUGUGUGUCAGCUUCACAGUUUUCCUGUCUUCUAGUUUACCUGGGGGAAAAAAAAAGAGGAAGGAAUUCUUUUUGAAUGUGGUGGCUGCAAAAUAAAGUGAGCAUGACUAUACUGAGAUGCACAAGUAGCUGAAGGCUGACGUGGCACCUGGAUGUCCUGACUCAGCCCCUCCUCCCAGGAAGACCCCCCCUCCCUACCAUCCUGAGUGAGCUUGGAUUUUCCCACUCCCCACCCCACAUUCCCACCUGCCAUCCCAGGCACCCACAUAACCCCUUCCCAAGUCCAUCAAGGCUCUUCCCAUCUCCCCUUACAAACCCAAGCCUACACUUCUCCAGAGAGCUUCCAGUCCUUCUUGAAUGUCCCACCUUGCUACAAAUAAAGACAUUCCACUAAAAAGGACACAUAAAAAUGGAAUCUCAAAAUGGAAAAUAUUCUAGAAUUGAUGACACUCAGUAUAAGAAGUCUGCUGACCACGUAAAUAAAUAGAUGCUGUGGUUUGGAGGAUUUGGAACCACUUCACUGGAGGGCCAUUUGGGUACAGUUAUCAAGAGUCCCUCAAAUGUUUAUGUGCUUUAACUAUGUAAUUCCUCUCCAGGAAUCCUUAAGGAAAUAAAGAGAAAUGUAGUCAAAGAUUUAUGUGCAAUGUUUUUCAUCACUAAGUUACCUGCAACUGAAAAAAGAAAACUUGGAAAUAAAAGUGUUAUUACCUGAAUGUUUGCAUCUCCCUAAAAUUCCUAAGGUGAAAUCCUAACCCCCAAAGGUGAUCGUAUUAGCAAGUGAGGCCUUUGGGAGGUGAUUAGGUCAUAAAGGUAGAGCCCUCACAAAUGGGAUCAGUGCACUUACAAAGAGGCUCCAGGAGUUCUCAUUGUGGUGCAGCAGAAAUGAACCCAACCAGUAUCCACGAGGACGUAGGUUCAACCCCUCGCUCGUUGGGGAUCCCACGUUGCUGUGGCUGUGGCGGCGGCUAUAGUUCUGAUUCGACCCCUAGCCUGGGAA